GGAUGGUCCGAUGGUAGUGGGUUAUCAGAACUCAUUAACAUUAGUGUCACUAAAGUUGGUAUUCAACCCCUCCCCUGCUAAAUUUGACUGGCUAAAA
rnacentral:Y_RNA from 1 species